CCCGCUGAACUUAAGCAUAUCAAUAAGCGGAGGAAAAGAAACUAACAAGGAUUCCCCUAGUAACUGCGAGUGAAGCGGGAAGAGCUCAAAUUUAAAAUCUGGCGGUCUCGCGGCCGUCCGAGUUGUAAUCUGGAGAAGCGUUUUCCGCGUCGGACCGUGUACAAGUCUUCUGGAACGGAGCGUCGUAGAGGGUGAGAAUCCCGUCUCUGACACGGACAGCCGAUGCUUCAUGUGAUACGCUCUCGAAGAGUCGAGUUGUUUGGGAAUGCAGCUCAAAAUGGGUGGUAAAUUCCAUCUAAAGCUAAAUAUUGGCGAGAGACCGAUAGCGAACAAGUACCGUGAGGGAAAGAUGAAAAGCACUUUGGAAAGAGAGUUAAACAGUACGUGAAAUUGUUGAAAGGGAAACGUUUGAAGUCAGUCGCGUCGGCCGAGACUCAACCCCGCCUUUUGGCAGGGCGCAAUUCUCGGUCGACGGGUCAGCAUCAAUUUCGAUCGUCGGAUAAAGGUCGAGGGAACGUGGCAUCCUCCGGGGUGUGUUAUAGCCCUCGGUUCCGCAUGCGACGGUCGGGAUUGAGGAACUCAGCACGCGCCUUUUGGUGUCGGGGCUUCGGCCUACGCUACGUGCUUAGGAUGCUGGCAUAAUGGCUUUAAACGACCCGUCUUGAAACACGG
rnacentral:rRNA from 1 species